CCUUCUUGUCUUUGACAGCGUGUCCAGCGAGCGCCUUCAUCUGCAGAGUUCCAGCUAUCGCGAUGAGAGGAACCACAGCCAACAGGAGCAGCGUCAGCUCCCAGCCGUACACCAGGCCCAGAAUCAGACCACCACCCAGGCAAAAACCGUCCUGAUGGAAGAAAGCACCUCUUCUGCUACUGCACCAGCUCUGGCAUAAGCUGUCUGCUCUUUGGACGUGAAGCUCGUCAGCACCUAUUCAAGAGGGGAAAUUAUACUGAGUUAUUAUUCUAAAAAUAGCCAACGACCUCCUGACGGCAGCAGACUCCGGACUCUUAUCCAUGCUCAUCCUUCUCGACCGGAGUCCUCCUCCAUAGGCUGGCAUCCAUCGGUUUAUCAUGCACACCCCUGGACUGGUUCACAUCAUAUCUCUCAUUCAGAUUCAUCUUGUGACCUUUACGAAGAUUCUGAACUGUAGAUUCGACCAAACUACCGCGCUGUAUAAAACAGUGUCUUCUGUAAUUAAGCAGACUCAUAAUUUCACCUCAGUCUUGGUCAAAGGUUCAGUUUUCGGGAUGAGUCAUCGAAAACUUCACGCCACAAACGGGAAACUCGCAAACGUCAGAGGAUUGAAAUCGUCGUUCUGUUCACCUUAAAAGGCCUUUAUUUGUUUAAGAGCCACGUUAUGACCAUGAUUACAUGUCUUGUUAAAGUCUGACACUCUGUGACUCACUGAUAAAACGCCAUAAAGAAAAAGAUUUUAUACCGUGCCUUCAUAAACAAAGAGAAAAAGCCUAAAGAGGAGCUAGUUCAGGUUCUGAAUGAUGCAGCAAAAGAGCAAAAUCUUCUUAUCUUCAACAUUAUCAUCACUAUGAAAGUCUUUUUUUGUUUUACUGUCACUGACUUCAUGAGAAACGUUGACUGUGGUUUAAACUUUUCACCCGACAGAAAUCUGAAACCACAGUCGACGUCAAAGCAGACACGCAUGAUCUGGUUUUGUUUCCUGUUUUGUGACACAUGAUAUAAAUACAAACGUUUACAUCCACUUGUUCAGACCAUGUGUAUAAUGACAGUCUUGAUAACUCCUGUAAAUAUGACUUUUAUAGGAUGGAUAGGAGGUCUUUGUCACAAAAAACAAUCAUACAUUUGGGUUCUUUCAUAUAUUUAUUACAGUUUUUCCAGAAAUAUCACCAAUAUUUUUUGCUGGGUUUCAAAAAUAUACAUGCAGUAACUUUAAUUGUUGGUUUUGGUGAUGUAGAGAGUUGUCUUAAUCAAAUGUUCUUAGUUCUGUGGCCUCUUAACGUCUUAUGAGUGAUUACGAUUGACUACAGCUGCUGACUCCUCUGAGCCAAUUUAAAUAGAACCCAUCUGAUUCCCUCAUUAGGUUAAGACACAAACACUACUGAGACGCUCAUGAAGAAGGAAGUUCUUCCUCUAGAAGCAGAACCCAUAAGAACCCACGGUGACACCAGUGUAACAAGCACUUUGAGUGCCACAGUCUCUUCCUGUAAAGUUUCAUGUCUGACAUUAACUGAUUAAGUCCUUUAAGGAAACAAUGGGUCUGGGUUCUUAUGGGUUAAAGUUUGUUGUUGAUCACAAGAACAAAGAAGAGGUCUUCUGGAGGAAAGUUCUGUGGUCAGAUGCAACAGAAACUGAGCAGACAUGUUUAGAGGAUAGACGGUGAGGUCUUUAACCCCAAGAACACCAAACCUACCAUCAAGCAUGGUGGUGGCAGUAUCAUGCUCUGUGGAACUGGAGCUUUACACUAAGUAAAUGGAAUAAUGAAGGAAGAUUAUCUCCACAUUCCUCAUGAAAACCUAAAAGUAGAACCAUCAGUACCAUCAACCAUCAGCAGCAGAAGGUUGAUCUUGGACACAGUUGAGUUUCGACAAUGAGCCCAAACAAUCAUCAAAAAUGAUAAAGAAAUAGUUCCAUCAGGCUCGAAUGAAGGUUUUAGACUGGUCUCCACAAAGUCCUGACUUAAACCCAUCGAGAACCCGUAGACUGAUGAAGAAACAAGUGAAUCAAUUUUAAUUCUGUCCAGAAAAGUUAAAGAGGAACCAGAAGCUUGAGGACGGAAACCAAAGUAACCAAACUAAGGUGAAAAUGGCCACUGGAUAUAAUGAAAUAGUUUGAGUUUUAUUGUCAUUCAAACAUAAACUUUCAAUGCACAACAAAAACAUGAUAAAAAUGAUUCAACUGGUUAAAAUUUCAUAUAUCCAGUCACAAAUCCACAAUUAUCUUUGUAAAUAUUCAUAUUUCGCUAAGAGAUGAUUGAAACAAAUUGUAAAAAUUCGAUGAUUUGUGGUGGAAUGACGCAAAUAUUAAGAACACAAACUCCUUUUUUUUUUAACUUGUCAGGUUUUUUGCUAGUUUAUAAACAAAAUGCAAUUUUUCUUGCAAGGGGGAAACAGGCAGCUAAUAUGUACAGUCUUCUUUCCUGUUAAUAGAAUAAACAUUCUCAACUUCCA